GACGGAGGGUGCUAGCGUUGUUCGGAAUUACUGGGCGUAAAGGGCGCGUAGGCGGCCCUGGAAGUCGGGUGUGAAAGCCCGGGGCUCAACCCCGGAACGGCACCCGAUACUCUUGGGCUCGAGACCGGAAGAGGUGAGUGGAAUACCCAGUGUAGAGGUGAAAUUCGUAGAUAUUGGGUGGAACACCGGUGGCGAAGGCGGCUCACUGGUCCGGUUCUGACGCUGAGGCGCGAAAGCGUGGGGAGCAAACAGG
rnacentral:rRNA from 1 species